CCUACGGGUGGCUGCAGUGAGGAAUAUUGGUCAAUGGACGGAAGGCUGAACCAGCCAUGCCGCGUGCAGGAAGACGGCUCUAUGAGUUGUAAACUUCUUUUAUACAAGGAUAAAGCUGUAUACGUGUAUACAGCUGAAAGUACCGUACGAAUAAGGAUCGGCUAACUCCGUGCCAGCAGCCGCGGUAAUACGGAGGAUGCAAGCGUUAUCCGGAUUUAUUGGGUUUAAAGGGUGCGUAGGCGGUUUGAUAAGUUAGCGGUGAAAUUUCCGGGCUUAACACGGGAACUGCCUCUAAAACUGUUAGUCUUGAGAGUAUUUGCGGUAGGCGGAAUGUAUGGUGUAGCGGUGAAAUGCUUAGAGAUCAUACAGAACACCGAUUGCGAAGGCAGCUUACCAAUCUAUAUCUGACGUUGAGGCACGAAAGCGUGGGGAGCAAACAGGAUUAGAUACCCUAGUAGUC
rnacentral:rRNA from 1 species